UUUUCUUUCACAGAUCUUAGAGCACUUUCCUUUUCAAUGAGGGAUAUUACCCAGCCACUUCACAUUUCAAAGAGAGUAAUUAUCA